rnacentral:rRNA from 1 species
GACGAACGCUGGCGGCGUGCUUAACACAUGCAAGUCGAACGAUGACGACCGAGCUUGCUCGGUCUGAUUAGUGGCGAACGGGUGAGUAACACGUGAGCAACCUGCCCUUCACUCUGGGAUAACCUCGGGAAAUCGGGGCUAAUACCGGAUAUGAGCUCCUGUCGCAUGGCGGGUGUUGGAAAGUUUUUCGGUGAAGGAUGGGCUCGCGGCCUAUCAGUUUGUUGGUGAGGUAGUGGCUCACCAAGGCGAUGACGGGUAGCCGGCCUGCGAGGGCGACCGGCCACACUGGGACUGAGACACGGCCCAGACUCCUACGGGAGGCAGCAGUGGGGAAUAUUGCACAAUGGGCGAAAGCCUGAUGCAGCGACGCCGCGUGAGGGAUGACGGCCUUCGGGUUGUAAACCUCUUUCAGCAGGGAAGAAGCGAAAGUGACGGUACCUGCAGAAGAAGCGCCGGCUAACUACGUG